rnacentral:misc_RNA from 1 species
CCUGGAUCUCGCUGAUCUUACAGAUUUUCUCAGAAAACCCGCGGACGAUUUUCCGUCAAAUUUUGCCAAACAACAUGGUCUCUCUCUCUCUCUCACAGCUACAUCUACAUUGCUAGUAUCUAUACAUGGUUUUAACAAUUACGAACAGAGAAUAUUUGAAUUUCAUUUUUGCAAGCUUAAAGGGGUUUCUCGUUUUCAUUUUGUCAUUGGGGAACGUUUUACGUUAUAUGGAUCGACUUUUGAAGAUCAAUUCUGGGCUAUACUCGCUUAGUAUUUUUUUAAUGCCUGUAGUGUAGAUCUAAAAAUGUUUACUGGUUUUUGUGAUUGGUUUCUACAUGGGGGCGCAGAUCCUAGUAUGUUUUUCUAAUUAAUUUUCACUCUUUGAAUCCUUACAUUAUCUCUGUGAUCUAAAAUAUUGGCUGCAAUUGGUAUUUUAUUAGCUAUAAUUGCCUUUGAUUUUACUUAAAAUUUUGUCAAGUUAUCGAUGCAUGUGAUGUGAUGGGCCACCUACUGAGCUUCAGUUCUAUUUCAUAGAGAAGAUAAUGGGUUGUUUGAGAUGUUUUAACAUGCAAUUUUGUUUGCAGGAGUCUUGCCCUAAAAUAAAAAAUAUCCUUCUAUUGGAUUCUGAAGGGAAACGUGUAGCUGUUAAGUACUAUUCAGAUGAUUGGCCAACAAACAGUGCCAAGGAAGCUUUUGAGAAAGGUGUAUUUACCAAAACUCAGCAUACGAAUGCCCGCACUGAGGGUAAACUAUCUGCACUUUGAUUUAUUCCGAUGUAUAGGUUUUUCUUUGUGUCGUCUGGUUGUGUAUCCGUGUCAUAGAAUUCAUUUGAUCAAGCGCGCAUUCUCCAUCUAUGAUAUGCUUAUGUGGGGUUUGGGGUUUUGCUGUGGCAUUCCAUAGUCUGGCCAGUUAGUAUCAAUUUUAGAGGGUGAUGUGUCAUUCUCUUUGCCGUGCACCUUCAAUACUCUCUAAUUUAAUAAGGUUGAUCUUACAAGGGUACUCUGUCAGGGUGGCGGUAUUGAGGGUUUUCUUCCCAUGGUCUUAGAGGAGCUGGGGUGGGGAACAGAGAAAAUUGUGAUAAAAGUUAAGUAAUCGGAUUGUUUAAUUUUGAUUGUAGUCACAUCACAUUCUAGGAUUUAUAAAAGUUUUUGUGCAUUUUUCAAUCUUGUUUGUAAACGACGUCUCCUUGUUGAUUUAGUACAUGGGGUAAUAUACUCUUCUCUGCAUGUUUUAUUCACCCUGUGAUUCUCACUCUUUCAUGUUAAUAUGUUGCUACUUAAUCUACAGCGGAGAUAACAAUGCUUGAGAAUAACAUUAUUGUUUACAAGUUCAUUCAAGAUCUUCACUUUUUUGUUACUGGAGGUGAAGAUGAAAAUGAGCUCAUCUUAGCCACAGUUCUUCAGGGGUUUUUUGAUGCAGUUGGCCUUCUCCUAAGGUUUUUCCAAUAGCCUCCUUAUCAUAUCCUCCCAUGUAGUUAAAUACUAGUAAGUGUCAACAUAAAUUAUCAAACUUUUUGUUCAUUGAUUUUGACAUGUGUUUAAAUCUUACCUUGUUUUAGAGGCAAUGUUGACAAGAAAGAGGCACUGGAGAAUCUGGAUCUCAUUCUGUUAUGCCUUGAUGAAAUUGUUGAUGGCGGGUAUGAGCAUGCUUCUACAUGCAUAUAUUGUCGAUGUGCUUCAUUGACCUAGAUUUAUUAUAUGGAACUUUGUCCUUUUGUUUACUGAAUUUGAAAUUCAAAAUACUGGAACAAUAGGUUGGUAAAUUUGAGCAAUUUCUUGCAAAUGUUGAGCAUAGCCCCUCUGAAAAUUCGAAGCUAUCUCUAAGAUAUUCUAAAAUUUUGUGGCAAGAGUUAAUGUAUGUUUUGUUUGAAUGCAAAAUAAAUUUAAAUGUCCAGCUUUCUGUAAGCUGAACUAAACUUGUAAUAAUCUGUUCCAUAACCUUCUUAAAUUCUUUUACUAAAAUAUCAGAUGUAUGAAUUUUGAUGCAACAAAACAAAAUAUUUUGCCCAGGUUCUGGGCAGUGUUGGCUCUUGUUAACCUCUUCAGUUCCUAAAGAGGCCUCUCAUACUAUGUCAAUGUAAACUUUUCAUAAUUUUGCAGAAUAACUCUCGAAAAUGAUGCAAAUGUCAUUGCGGGGAAGGUAGCAAGUAAUAGCAUGGAUGCUGGAGCUCCAUUAUCUGAGCAGACAAUAACUCAAGCGCUGGCCACUGCGCGUGAACAUCUAACAAGAUCCCUUCUUAAAUAAUAAGAGAGAAGCAAAGGGAGUUCUCAUAUUUCCGGUUUUAGAUGUUAGUAUUAUAUUAAUGGAUGAUGCUUGCUACAAGGGCAGCUGAAUGCUUCCAUUUCUUGUUAUUUUGAUUUGUUUUGUUUUACAUUGUACUCUGACCGUUUUGAGGAUUAAAUGAAAGCAUAGCGAUUUGUGGGUCAAUCUCACUUAUGAAAGGGUUUAAUGAGAUACGAAAGAGAGCAUCAAUCAGAGGA